rnacentral:rRNA from 1 species
CCUACGGGUGGCAGCAGUGAGGAAUAUUGGUCAAUGGACGUGAGUCUGAACCAGCCAAGUAGCGUGAAGGAUGACUGCUCUAUGGGUUGUAAACUUCUUUUAUAAAGGAAUAAAACGAGGCACGUGUGCCUUUUUGUAUGUACUUUAUGAAUAAGGAUCGGCUAACUCCGUGCCAGCAGCCGCGGUAAUACGGAGGAUCCGAGCGUUAUCCGGAUUUAUUGGGUUUAAAGGGUGCGUAGAUGGGUUGUUAAGUCAGUUGUGAAAGUUUGCGGCUCAACCGUAAAAUUGCCAUUGAAACUGGCAGGCUUGAGUACAGUUGAGGCAGGCGGAAUGCGUGGUGUAGCGGUGAAAUGCUUAGAUAUCACGAAGAACCCCGAUUGCGAAGGCAGCUUACCAAGCUGUGACUGACAUUGAUGCUCGAAAGUGUGGGGAUCAAACAGGAUUAGAUACCCGAGUAGUC